CAGAAAACAAACCGCUGUUAUGGGGAGGUGGCGUUGUCCCUUGGGUGGCCUCCUGGAGGUGGUUUGGGAGGACGGUCCCGAUGACCUCUCCACCCUUGUUCCCAAUACAGUCUUUCUUCCUCUUGGGCUCCCAUCAUGUCACUGGGGCCAAGCAACGGCUCGGGGUGACCCUCCUUCUGACCUCUGUUGCCUGACUCCUGGGGCAUCUUCUCCCUUGGGUUUUCUCCCAGCAACUCCCCGGAGCUGCUCAUUGGGAGCCCGUAAAUACCUCUCUUGACAAGGUCCCGAUAGAAGGCAGUCCAUUGGAUAGGUAACUUUUAAGAGAGGUCUGGUCUUUUCGUCGACAGCUGUGUAGACAUGUAAUCAUUGUGUGCCAGAUCUUGUUUCAGAGGUAUUACCAAGAGCCAUAGCAACAAUCCCCAGCUCACACACAGACAGCAUCAAUACAUCGAUGCACUGUUUCUCAUAAUGCUUGAUGGAAAUGGGUGAGUUUGGUCAUUUACCUUAUUCAACACAAUCAUGGCAAGGCAUAAGGCUUAUUGAUUCCAUCUCAGGAAAUGUCAAACCAUUCUGAAGGAGGCACAUUACUGUACAACCUUUGCUAGGAAACUCUGUACUUGGCACUUGGCACAAUUCUUGGAAAAUCACAAACCAAUCACACCUAUUCACAGCAACCAAUCUACCCUAAACCACAAAGCCUAUCACAAGUCUCGCUACAGAAACAUAUUUUAUGUCAAAUCCAUAUGUUAAUAAACUGCUUCGGAGGGCCGUCAUAACUUGAUGUUGUAACUGGUGGAAGUUCAAAUAGCGCUUCCAAUACUGCAGAGAUGAAUCUGGUUGCUUAAUCAGGAGAGCUGCUGGAGGCUAAGGAAGUGGCACUGAGAAAUGUAUUAUGCAACACCUCGCAUAAUGUCAUCCACACAGGUUAGGCAGUUUGCUGUAAGCCCCCAGGACAGGAUGCUAAUCUAUCGCAGAAUCUGGAUAUACCAUUGAAAACACAGUCUAGGACAGAAUUUGAGAUUACACACUAUUAGAUCACUAUCCAGAAAGUCUGUUCUGAUCCUGAGGAGUUCAGAGGACUUCCACAAUUGGCAAAUUGGCAUGAAAGGUUCAGCUCAAAAAAGGUUGUUGCAGAAAAAAGAUUGAAUUCAAAUGGAUUUACUUGAGACGUAACACCUUCUGAGCUGUGGCCAACAAGUAAUAUGUCAACCCUUGGAGGAGUAAAUGAGUUUCUUGACACAACAGGGGAGGAAACUGUGUGGGUUCAAACCAGUUAGUUGGCCCAUCACAUGACGACUCUUCCAUCCCUGCUAUCACUUUCUCAAACAGCCCUGAUUAUACCCCCAGCCUAAUUACGCCUGGCUUAGAUAUUAUGACUGGGAUGGGCUUCAAAGCAUCACAGAUGCACAACGUCUCACUUACCACAACCCAAUGGGGCUUUAGGCGGUGGACUUCAAAGCAUGGGAGCAACAGCAACAGAAGCAUAGACGCACACACACAAAUCCCUGACCCCAUGGAACCAACAUCAGAAAGUGAACACAAAGCAGGACGAGCAGGAUGAGAUGUCUAAUCUCGUGCAUACGAUAUGCUGUCCUGCUCAUUGUGUGGGUGUGUGUGUGUGUGUGUGUGUAUGUGUAAGUGUGGUUUACUCCUUCCUAUUACAUCCAAUGGAUGACAAACCAGACCGGAUUUUUUUGAACUUGUAAUCUUUGGAUAUCCAGUUUCCCCUUUAAUAUAAUGAGCUGUACAAUAUUUCCCCUGGAAAUUGGUAUGGGCCUUCUGUGGUUCUACAGUCUAUGGAUGGAGUCAUCAUUCAAUACAUUGUUCUAUUUAUUGGGGGGGGGGGGGUUGUUGUGGAGAAAGAUAGAGUGGGAGAAAGAGACAAGGCGAGAUGGAAGUAAUAAACAAAAUAUUGUCUUUGCAAUAAAA
ensembl:lncRNA